rnacentral:rRNA from 1 species
GACGAACGCUGGCGGCGUGCUUAACACAUGCAAGUCGAACGGAAAGGCCCUGCUUUUGUGGGGUUCUCGAUUGGCGAACGGGUGAGUAACACGUGAGUAACCUGCCCUUGACUUUGUGAUAACUUCAGGAAACUGGGGCUAAUACCGGAUAGGAGCUCCUGCUGCAUGGUGGGGGUUGGAAAGUUUCGGCGGUUGGGGAUGGACUCGCGGCUUAUCAGCUUGUUGGUGGGGUAGUGGCUUACCAAGGCUUUGACGGGUAGCCGGCCUGAGAGGGUGACCGGCCACAUUGGGACUGAGAUACGGCGCAGACUCCUACGGGAGGCAGCAGUGGGGAAUAUUGCACAAUGGGCGGAAGCCUGAUGCAGCAACGCCGCGUGCGGGAUGACGGCCUUCGGGUUGUAAACCGCUUUCGCCUGUGACGAAGCGUGAGUGACGGUAAUGGGUAAAGAAGCACCGGCUAACUACGUG